CUCAGCCUUGGGGAGGCCUCCUCUCAACUUGUGAGCAGGCUGCGUGAUCUGACUGUCAAAGACCGUGGAGGUCACUGACAUCUUACAAAGAUUGUUCUCACCAUGAAUUCUCUUCCUGUGAUGUGUCUCAUCCUCAGAGCAGAGAUUGCCUUCCUGGAAGAAGCCACAGUGUUUUCUGAGGAGCUCGAGUUCACAAUCCAGAGGGACUCUUAUUGUGAAGAAAAGUGAAUGAUGGAAGUAUAAACCGUGUAGUGAAGAGCAGUGUUGCCAGGGCGGAAGAGAUGAGAGAGAGCAAGCAAGACUCGGGAGUGUUCUGACAGGUAACAUGGGACCGAAGGAGGCGCAGGCCACCCAGGG
ensembl:lncRNA